AGCACUAAAAUAUGUAUGUUGCUUUGGAGAAAAGCAUCUGCUAAAUGAAUAAAU
rfam:Scleropages formosus scaffold17060, whole genome shotgun sequence.